rnacentral:rRNA from 1 species
UACGUAGGGUGCGAGCGUUGUCCGGAAUUAUUGGGCGUAAAGAGCUCGUAGGCGGUGUGUCACGUCGGUCGUGAAAACCUGGGGCUUAACUCUGGGCUUGCGGUCGAUACGGGCAUCACUUGAGUUCGGCAGGGGAGACUGGAAUUCUGGUGUAGCGGUGAAAUGCGCAGGAUAUCAGGAGGAACACCGGUGGCGAAGGCGGGUCUCUGGGCCGAUACUGACGUGAGGAGCGAA